GAUUUGAUUGAUUGAAUCCAGCUCAGAAAACGUAUCCUGUUAGCAUAACCGAUGUGCAAAUAGAGCCUUAUCCAGUGACGGCUGGAUCAACUGCGAGCUUCACUAUCAAGGCUCGUACUGGUGAAAUGAUAAAUGGAGGUAAAUUGAAACUUGUGGUAUUGUUCUUAGGGGUGAGAGUUCAUUCAGAAACAUAUGAUAUUUGUGAGAAAGUGGCUUGCCCUAUAUCAAUUGGAAAAUUUCGCAUAUCUCACACACAAACUUUACCUGGAAUCACACCAUCUGGUGUUUAUAAGCUAAAGAUGACGAUCACAGAUGAGAAGAGAACUCAACUGACUUGCAUCAGCUUCAAAUUCAAUAUCGGCCAUGGCCCUCGACAAGCAUCAAUCAUCUAGAACUCUACUUAUUCCUCACGAUUGUUUGUUUGUUUCAUUGUAAUGUUCAUAUAAGAGCUUACUUACUUACUUAAUUAAUUAAUGGCCGAAGAAGUUCUUUGGCAUCAGAUUUGAA